CAGUCGUACUUACGGGUAAUCAGCCUUUUGGGUGUGAUUAUGUGGAUUGUGAGGAGUUUAAUCCCCCUCAUGUUUUACGUAUUCGUGCUCUUGGGUGUACUUGCCCGUGUGGUAGGUUAACAUCAAUUUUGGUCGUCAUAAAAUGACUGGAGGAAUGUAGCUUUGGUCUCGUAUCGAAGUGUUAUAGACUCUGGUAGAUGUGACGAUUGGGGAUUGAGGUUUCAGUGCACGCUUCGGUUGUGCUUUGAUGCUGGCGUAAUGGCUUUAAGCGACCCGUCUUGAAACACGGACCAAGGAGUCGUAACAUAUAUGCGAGUGUU
rnacentral:rRNA from 1 species